UACGUAGGGACCAAGCGUUGUCCGGAAUCAUUGGGCGUAAAGAGCGUGUAGGCGGCUUGUUAAGUCUUGCGUGAAAUCUCGGGGCUCAACCCCGAGCGGUCGUGAGAAACUGGCAGGCUAGAGUGCGGGAGAGGAGAGUGGAAUUCCUGGUGUAGCGGUGUAAUGCGCAGAUAUCAGGAAGAACACCCGUGGCGAAGGCGGCUCUCUGGACGGUGACUGACGCUGAGACGCGAAAGCGUGGGGAGCAAACAGG
rnacentral:rRNA from 1 species